CCCUACGGGGUGCAGCAGGUGCUGGACAGGCAAAGCGCUGAACUGAAAGACCGCAUUGCUUUCGUUACAAGGGAACGGGAUCAGCUUAAAGCCGAAAAAGAUGAAAUGAUUGAAAAAGCGGCCUCUUAUGAUAAAAAGUGCUCCGAAUUAAAGUCUGCUCUUGAGGAACUGGAUUCGCUGAAAGACCAAAAUGCGCAGCUUUUGGAAAAGGCCGGCUUUGCGGAUCCCCAGUUUGCCGAAAAUAUUGCGGGGGAAAACAGACAGCUUAAAAGCAAACUUGAAGCGGCAAUCGCUGAAUUGAGUGCGGCGCAAAAGAAAAAAAGCGAUCUGGAAGAUGCGCUGUCCGGGCUGAAAACAGACGAAACAAAAUUGACAAAUGAAUUGGCGGGGGGGC
rnacentral:rRNA from 1 species